rnacentral:rRNA from 1 species
CCUACGGGAGGCAGCAGUGGGGAAUAUUGGACAAUGGGCGCAAGCCUGAUCCAGCCAUACCGCGUGUGUGAAGAAGGCCUUUUGGUUGUAAAGCACUUUAAGCGAGGAGGAGGGCACUUUGGCUAAUACUCGAAUGUGUCGGACGUUACUCGCAGAAUAAGCACCGGCUAACUCUGUGCCAGCAGCCGCGGUAAUACAGAGGGUGCGAGCGUUAAUCGGAAUUACUGGGCGUAAAGCGCGCGUAGGCGGCUUGUUAAGUCGGAUGUGAAAUCCCCGGGCUCAACCUGGGCACUGCAUUCGAUACUGGCAAGCUAGAGUAUGGGAGAGGAAGGUAGAAUUCCAGGUGUAGCGGUGAAAUGCGUAGAGAUCUGGAGGAAUACCGAUGGCGAAGGGCAGCCUUCUGGCCUAAUACUGACGCUGAGGUGCGAAAGCAUGGGGANCAAACAGGAUUAGAUACCCUGGUAGUCCAUGCCGUAAACGAUGUCAACUAGCCGUUGGGGACCUUGAGUCCUUAGUGGCGCGNGCGACGCGUAGUAGUUAGACGUCCGUUGGGAGGUACGGUUCGCGAGACGAACGUUACGAAGGAAGUUAGACGGCGNGAGACGNGCGACGGACGACGACGAGGGAGUAGG